GACGAAGGGGGCUAGCGUUGUUCGGAAUUACUGGGCGUAAAGCGAGUGUAGGUGGUUGUCCAAGUUGGAUGUGAAAGCCUUGAGCUCAACUCAAGAAAUGCAUUCAGGACUGGGCGACUAGAGGACCGGAGAGGAUAGUGGAAUUCCCAGUGUAGUGGUGAAAUGCGUAGAUAUCGGGAGGAACACCAGUGGCGAAGGCGACUACCUGGCCUGUUCUUGACGCUGAGGCGCGAAAGCUGGGGGAGCAAACGGG
rnacentral:rRNA from 1 species